AACUGGGUUUUUAUUUUUUUUCUCUCUCCUCGAAUUUGAUUUUCUCUCUCCUCAAUUUCUGGGUAGAUCGGCGAUAUUCUCUCCUAUCGAUUUUCUCUCUCUACUUUCGGAUUUUUCUCUCUAUUUCUCUCUCUUCUUAUCUGUAUCUCUCUCUAGUUUUUGGAUCUGGAGAUUUUCAGCUUCAAUCGGAUCGAUUUAUUAGGGUUUUUGCUAUUUUUAUAUAAUAUUAUAAAUUACAAAGUAUCAAACCCUAGUUCGGCGAUUAAUUUGGGGGAGGAGAAGGGGGUUUGGUUUGAUUUAUUUGAGGAAAAGAUAAGAUCGAGUUUUGGAAUUUGGAGGUGGUUUUGAGAAAUUUGUGGGUAUCGAAUUUGUUUUUAGGAAUUAGGGUUUGAAUUGAUGUUGAUCGAAGAAGGGAAAAUUGGGGAAAAUGCUAGGAUAUGCUUGGGUGGGAGGCCGGCGGCGGGAGUAGGAAAAGGAUUCGGCACAUGCGGCCAGUUUUAACAUCAACCGGUGGUGUAGCUGCUGCUGUUGAUGAUUCUGGUGCGGUUGUUGUUGGUGGUUCGUCUUCAACCAGUUCCUUUGUCAAGGAGCGAUUGUACUGCAUUGAUGGGGGUGCUGUGAGGUCGAAGUUUUGCAAGAAUUUGGACAUUUUAAAGGAGACCGUAACCACUACCUUUGAAGGGGUUGUCCAAUGCAUAGUUUGGAUGAUGAUGUUCGCAAGAUAAACGUUGGCGAUUGUGCUCUCUUUAAACCACAACAAGACUCCCCACCUUUCAUAGGAAUUAUUCGUUCAUUAGGGUCUGACAAAGAGAAUAACUUGCAGCUUGGUGUAAAUUGGCUUUAUCGGCCUGCAGAUGUCAGGCUUCUGAAAGGCCUUGCACCAGAAGCUGCGCCUAACGAAGUUUUCUACUCGUUUCAUAGGGAUGAGACUCCUGCUGCAUCCCUAUUACAUCCGUGUAAAGUUGCAUUCUUGCCAAGAGGAGUUGAACUUCCUUCAGGGAUAUCUUCAUUUGUGUGUCGACGAGUUUACGACACUGCAAACAAGCGUUUGUGGUCGUUGACAGAUCAGGAUUAUAUUGAUGGUCGGCAAGAAGAAGUAGAUCAACUGUUACGUAAAACUCAAUUAGAAAUGCAUACAACGGUUCAACAACAAGGUGGUCGCUCUCCAAAACCAGUGAAUAGUCCGAUGUCAACAUCACAGUUAAAACACAGUCCUGAUAGUGUGCAGAAUAGUACUACCAUUUACCCUUCUCAAUCUAAGGGAAAGAAAAGGGAGAGAAGUGAUCAAUCCUCCGAGCCUGUGAAGCGUGAGCGCUCCUCAAAAGCAGAUGAUGUAGAUUUCAGUUUACCGAGAACAGAAGGCAUGUUGAAGUUUGAAAUUGAUAAAAUAACCGAGAAAGGGGGGCUUGUAAAUUCUGAAGGGGUCGAGAGAUUAGUCCAUCUUAUGCAGCCUGACAAAUCUGAGAAGAAAAUGGAGUUAAGUUGUCGGUCCUUGCUGGCGGGUGUGAUAGCUGCAACAGACAAGGUUGAUUGCCUAAACCAGUUUGUGCAACUUAGAGGCUUGCGAGUCUUGGAUGAAUGGCUCCAGGAGGCCCACAAGGGUAAAAUCGGUGAUUCCAGUAGCCCCAGAGAUCAGGAUAGAUCGGUUGAGGACUUAAUUUUGGUUUUACUUCGAGCGUUGGACAGACUCCCAGUAAAUCUUAAUGCAUUGCAGAUGUGUAACAUUGGCAAGUCUGUGAAUCAUCUGCGGUCACAUAGAAAUUCAGAAAUUCAGAAGAAGGCACGGAGUCUAGUGGAUACAUGGAAAAAGCGUGUGGAGGCUGAGAUGAACAUUAAUGAUUCAAAGUCUGGUACCAGUCAUGCUGUUUCUUGGCCAGCUAGAACACGUAAUGAAGCUUCUCAGGUUGGGAAUCGGCAUCCCAGUGGCUCCUCAGAUGCUACCAUGAAGAAUUCUAUUUCACAACUCUCUUCAUCAAAAUCUGCUUCAGUUAAGCUGGUUCAGGGAGAUGCUGUUGCUAAAUCACCAUCUGCAUCAGCAUCUCCAGGAGCCGUGAAAUUAGCCUCAUCACCUGCAUCUACAAGUGCUAGCCUUAGGGAUGGACAUCUCAGAACGUCUUUUGUUAGUGGCAGCUCUGAACUUCCUCAGUCAGCAGCAAGAGAUGAGAAAAGCAGUGGUUCUAGUCAGUCUCAUACCAACAGCCAGUGUUCGAGUGACCAUGCCAAAAACACAGGGCCUUCUGUUAAAGAAGAUUCAAGGAGCUCCAAUUCGGGAUCAACUAGUUUGAAUAAGAGUUCAGGAAGUGCUUCCAGGCACCGAAAAUCUGCUAAUGGGUUGCAGGGUCUGGCUGUUUCUGCCGUCCAGAAGGAUGGUGGAUCUAGCAGAAACUCUUCUGUGAUGAGGGUCUCUGUAUCGGAAAAGUUACAGCAGCAGCCAGUUACAUGUGAAAAGGCCAUGGAUGUUCCCGUUUCUGACAGCACCAACCAUAAGCUAAUUGUGAAAAUCAGCAAUCGGGGCCGCAGUCCUGCACAAAGUAAUGGAGGAUCUGUUGAGGAUCCUACUUCCACUAAUAGUAGAGCUUCAUCUCCUGUGCUUCCUGAGAAGCAUGGACAAUUAGAUCACAGUUCAAAAGAAAAAUCUGAUGGUUUUCGAAAUCAUGCCCCAUCAGAUGUGAACACUGAGUCUUGGCAAAGCAAUGAUCUUAAAGAUGGGAUGACUGGGUGUGAGGAAGGGGAUGGAUCUCCAGCUACGGGUCCAGAUUCUGGACGUACAACUACUGAUGAAGCUGGAAAACCAACUGAUGUUACGAAAGUUGUGUCAUCAAUCAAAAGUGAGAUCAAAACAAGAAAGUCACUUGAUACUUCGUUAAGCUCUAUCAAUGCUUUAAUUGAAAGCUGUGCCAAGUGCUCUGAAGAUAACACACCCAUUUCUGUUGGAGAUGAUGGCAUGAAUCUGCUUGCUAGUGUUGCUGCAGGGGAAAUUUCGAAGUCAGGUGUGGUAUCACCCGCACAAUCUCCUCAGAGGAGCACUUCUUUGGUUGAUGAAUCAUGCCGGGACUACAGUAAUAGAUCAAAGCCUAACGGUGAUGUAUAUGCUUCGAUAGGGGACAAAAACCGCCCCAGUGUUGCUGUCGUUGCUGAAACUCAGAAACAGAAUGUCACUCCAGGUGUUGUAUCGGUCCAUCACGAGGAUUCAGGUGACCGGUCGAGGAUUUCUGGCAAGGAUAUGCUGAACAAUGUGGAAGCUUGUUCAAAAUCUGACAAGAAAACUGAUGAAGGCGGUGCUACCAUUUUUGCCUCUCUGUUGGCUACUUGUGCAGUCAGUAAUGAAGGUGCUGAACAAGCUCUUGAAUCCAAGACAGGUGUCAAGGAUAACAGUAAUGUGCGUACACCCAACAGAAGAGAGGGUGUAAGUAGCUGUUCAGCUACUGAAGACAAAGUUAACGAUGUCUCUCUGAAGGAGCGUAUCCGUAUUAGGCCUGCUGAAACACCACCAGCCCCUUCAGCAGAUGUUGAUGAGAAGGCCGACGUGAAAAGCUGUCCAAAAGGUGCAACAGUUUCUCCACCUGCGUCUGUUGCAUCCACAACUGGAAGGAGUAUGGGUGACCUUGGUGCCGAAAUUAUGAAUGGUAAAAUUGUAGCUGCCAAAGAAGAGAGUCAGAAUGAGCAUCCAGUUGCAAGUCAGGGACAUGGUGUUGGCCUGGAAGUUAAGGAUAAGGUUAAGGGUUCAUCUUUGAAUGACGAGUUUGAGAAAAAAGCUCUCAAAGAUGCUGCAUUAUGCCCUCCUACUGAUGACGACAAGAAGCAGGCCAGUCAAGGGCUUCGAAGCAACAUUGUAUUGGAGCAAAAAUCACAUGCUGUAGCAGUGAAAGUGGAUUCAGCAAUUACCAAUGAGAAGCCAGUCAUGGUGUCAAAUGAAGUUAAAUCUGAAAAGGCUGAGGGUGUUGCUGUCUGUGGUCUUGCCAGUCAGGCAGGGAAAAGGAUUCUAGACAAAGAGAGUGGUUCUUCUGUACCCGAGAAAGAAGGUGAACAUGAAUUGUGUGGUGCUGAUGUAGAUCUGGACAGAAGCUGCAAGGAUCAAAAUUCAGAAAACAAAGAUGCUCCUGCACAGCAGUGUGACAUUUCAGGUACACAAGUAAGCUGUACUGCGGUUGCUUUAUCAGAAGCAGAAUUACAUUCUAAUGCAGAAAGAGCUAAAUUGUCUAAAAUGGAUGAAGAGAGUAAAGAGAAUAGUGUAUCCGCCACAGAUAAUGUUUCCUUGCCACCUGCUUCACGAGGUCCAGAUGUGGAUACAAAGCUUGGAUUUGAUUUAAACGAAGGCUUUAAUGUUGAUGAAGGGAGGAAUGGUGAGCCUGUUAAUUUGGGUUCUGGUCCGUACCCAGAUAUUGUUUGUUCAGUCAGUCCCGUGCAAAUCCCUGUUUGCUCUGCAUCAUGUGGUCUACCAGCUUCAAUUACUGUUGCUGCAGCUGCUAAGGGACCCUUUGUUCCUCCUGAUGACUUGUUGUGGAAUAAGCGGGAACUUGGAUGGAAAGGUUCAGCAGCCACAAGUGCAUUUCGUCCAGCUGAGCCCAGAAAAUCCCUUCUUCCUGAUUCUCCGGCUCCCAGACCAGCUCGGGUUCCUUUGGAUAUUGACCUUAAUGUGGCCGAUGAAAGUGGUGGCCAGGAGUUCAAUGUUAGAAAUAAUCCUGUAUGUGAGCUUAUGACUACUGCAUCUUUGCGUAGCUCUGGAGGUCUUGAUCUUGAUCUUAAUAAAGUUGAUGAGACUUCAGACAUGACCCAUGUGGGACGGCACAUGACUAGCAACACUCAGAGAGUUGAAGUCUCAACUCAGCAUGUAAAAGCAUCAACUUCCAAUGUUUAUUCUAAUGGUGGAGGAAGUGGUAAGAGGGACUUUGAUUUGAAUGAUGGGCCAGCGGCUGAGGAAUUACCUGUUGAUCCAAUUCCAUCGCGUCAACUUAAUAGUGGGAACAUUCCUCUACAGUCACCUUUUGGGCCCAGAAUUAAUAGCUCUGAUACAGGGAACUGCUUUUCUUGGUAUCCUCCUGGAACCAGCUACUCAGUAAGUAUGAUGCCAUCAGCUUUACCUGAUAGAGAAGCUUUUUCACUUGUUGGGAUUGGUGGAGGUCCUCAGCGUGUUGUCGGCGGUCCUACCACAGCUUUAUCAUUUAAUCCUGAUGCCUAUAAUGGAUCAGUUUUAUCAUCAUCUCCUGCUUUGCCUUUCCACCCUGCCCCUUUUCAAUAUCCAGUCUUGCCGUUUGGGACCAGUUUUCCUCUGCCAACGUCUGCCUUAGCUGGUGGGUCUUCUGGAUACAUGGACCCAACUGCUGGUGGGCGCAUUUCAGCUAUCCCUUCUCAAUUGGUUGGAAAUGCAGCAGCAGUGUCCUUUCAGUAUCCUCAUGCAUAUGUUGUUUCUCGGCCUAUUCCAGACACCGGUAAUAACUCUGUUAUUGGGGGCAAUCAUAUAUGGGGAAAACAAGGUCUAGAUCUUAAUUCUGGCCCAGGAGUUUUGGACGUUGAAGGGAGAGAUGAGUCACUGCCAAUUGUAUCAAGGCAGGUCUCCACCAUCAGUUCACAGUCCCUUGCAGACGAGCAAGCUAGGAUGUAUAGCAUGGGAGGCGGCCAUAUGAAAAGGAAGGAACCUGAGGGAGGAUGGAAUAUAGAUAAGCUUAACUUCAAGCAAUCGUCAUGGCGAUAGAAUCACAUGAUGUUACCAUAUAGUGACCCCUUGUAUAGUGACCCUUGAAAAAUGGAUGUUGGUUUAGCUAUUUUGUAGAAGAUGGACCCAGGCUAACUACCAAGAAGUCAUCAUCUAACUCUCGUCAUGAAAAGGAUGGGUGGUAAGUGAGUAUACUGGUGUGUUCAUAACAAUCAUAAGUCUCCGACCUCUCCCAUCUCCUGCUGUACCAAUUCAGUUUACUUGAAAAAAAGAAAAAAAAGUUUGGGGUUCUGCUAUUCAGUCUGUGAAUCUAUCCUCAGGUGGCUAUUGGUCAGUUUCUUCUGUAGAUAGUUGAAAUUAUUGAGAAAAAUGCCUGUUAUACAAAGCUUCAAUAGCUUUGAUACCAUUCGUUUCUUUUUCAACCUCCCAGCGGAGGGAAGUUGAAUUUGUUUACUGCUCUAAGCAGAAGUGUUUGUAUGUGCAUUUUUCUUAAUUUAUCCAUUCUUUCCCUAGUAUCUCUCAUUUUACUA